GGCCAGUCCAAGUACAGUGGUAUUUUAACUAAUUGAUCACAACCAGUUAUGGAUUCCUUUGUUCUUUCUCCAGUCCCACUGCUUCACUUGACUAGCCUUUU
rnacentral:Y_RNA from 1 species